UUUAACACACACAAACCCUAAACUCCCAAAAGCAAAACCUAAAAUCGAUCUAUCGUGCGCAGCUGCCUAAAUUCCUAAAUUCCUAAACCUGAAAUCGAUCGUGCCGCCUAAAUUCCUAAACCCAAAAUUGCUCUCAGUCUCUCCCUCUCGUUUAGUCACAAAGUAUGGAGCCGAAAAUCUAAACCAGAAACCAACAUAGAUGCUUUGAAAGCCAGAGUAAGAAAGGGUUGGUGGUGUGGCGGUGGGAGGAGUUGCGGUUGGGGGUGUAGCGGUUGGUGGUGGGGCGGUUGGUGGUGAGGUCGUUGGUGGUGAUGAUGGGGCUUGGGCCAUCCAUGAGGUGGCCAAUAGAGCCAAGAUGAUGAAAACUCAAAGCCCAGAUCGAUGAACCCUUUUUCGUUUGAGAAAAGAAAGAAAGAAAACACAGAGGAGAGAGAGAUCUAGAGAGAGCUAAGGGGAGUUGUGCUUAGACAGAGAGAGUUAGAGCUUGAUUUGUGAGUUGUGAGUGGAAAAGAGAAGAAUGAGAAUAUAAAAAGGGAGGAAGAAAGUGGAGAGCUGAACAAAGACAGCGCUAAAUAAAACAUCAAUUGCCGAAGAACAGUGUUCAGGCUAAACCCAACAAAUCCACAACCCAGUUCGGGGUGGCACAAGCAGGUAGACAGUUAACCAUUGGAGACCAGUGAGCUAGAAUGGAACCAAAGUCCCAAAUACAAUUCAGGAUCAGUAUAGAGAAUCUGAAGCAAAUGCUAAUGGCAAUGGAGAAAAGGGUCAUUCAAAAUCUUUAUUAAAUGGAAACUCAGAAUUUUCUAGCCAUGCUACACAAGUUUUUCUUGCCCAGAGAUGGAAGGAGGCUAGUUAAACACGCAGUGCUCGAGUGGUCACAACAGCAAAUAGAGGGCCAUGAUUGCAGCGGCUAUGUUGCGGCUAAUUAGUACAUUUUUAUUAAGAGAUCAACUUCCACACUGCCACCAAGUAGCCAGCGAAGAGCAGAGGGUGCCUCAAUAAUUUUGCAGCAAAGUCACACCCAUAACACUAGUUCCUUAAACACCUCACACCAGGUGCUCUUAUCUGGUGUAGUAAUUUUAGAAGUUCCUAUCUGGAAGGAUUUACUUGUUUACUUGCUAUCUAGAAGUUGCUAUCUGGAAGGAUUUACUUGCUAUUUGGUUUAGGUGUUUACCUUUACAACCGGAAAGCCCUUAUUGCAGCCGUAUACCCUUGAUCUGGUCAAUUGGUGUUGUGAGAGUCCACACCAAUGGCAUCACAAGAGGGCUCAAUCUAUUAUAUAGCAAAUAUAAAAUAUUUGGAGAAGUAACAGAUUGGUCGGAUAUAAGCCAACAUCCAAGAUUAAUUUAAUUUUUAUAGAUUUGUGUAUGUUAUAUAUUUUAAAUUAAGUUAGAGAUUUUGUAUUAUCAACAAUUUACUAGUUGAAUGUAUAUAUAUAAGUUAUUAAUUCUAUUAAAGUGAGUUUUGAUAUUUUAAUUAUUCUACAAAUAUAUAAUUAGAAAUUCUGCAUUAAUGGAAUAAUUAAAAUUAAAUAUUAUAUAUAAAUUUGGUUGGAAAAUAAAAUAUAAUUCAAUUUAAAUUUAUUUUGCAACAAAAAUUCAGUAGCAAAAUUAUUAUAUUUUUAUGUACUAAAGUUGUAUUUGUUACCAAUUUUAAAGUGAUUAGCUACCAAAAUGUAGUAGCAAAAAAGUUUUAGUAGUCUUUCAAAGUAAUUAUUUUGCUACUAGAUUUGACAUUUUUUGCUACAAAAAUAUUAGUAGCAAAUUUGCUACAAAUUGUCUUGGUAGCAAAAAAACUUUCAGCAACGGAGUAUUAGCUACGAAGUAGCCACCAAAAAAAGUUAGUAGCAAAAAGUUUAAUAGCUACCAAAUAGGCAUUAUUUGCUACUAAUUUUUUUGUAGCUGAAUAUCCUUUUUUUUUUUUUUUUGUAGUGGCAGGAGGCAAUAGAGGUAAAGCUAUUUUCUCCCUAGAUAGUUGGGUGGCAGUAGCAAGUAUGAUGUUAGGUGCUUGGUGGUAAAGAAGGAUCCUGACUCUCUUUAGUAGUUUUGGUGCUCCUUCUGGGUGACCUUCCACUAUCAGAGACAUCAUACCCCUUCUGGGACAGGCCUUCCGUGACCUACCUCCUAAAAGCUACCAGCUGUAAGACUUUAUCCUUGGUCUCUAUCCUUGCCUUUUUAUUAGCUUUGCUGUUUGAGGAGCCAGACUAUUUUUUAUUGAUAACGACUGCCCAUCGCAAUUAGAGUUGUUCCCUCUAGUGUUCUCCAAAGAAACCUUCUGCAAGGGUUCCACGAUCAGAAUAGGUUCAGUCAGAUCAAUGAUGGAAGUGGACAAGUCUUCCAUGCUUGGAGCCUUAGAAGCAGCCCCUGAAUUCGAAACCAGAGGUGCUGAAAACUGAGAUCCACUUUUGGAAAUUUGGCCUUUCUUUCCCUUGUCCUUACCUUCCUUGGCUAUCUCCCAAACCUCUUCAGAUCUCGAUUGGAUGUUGCCCAAGAACCUGUUGAGUAGAUCCAUCUGCAAGAUGGCUAGUUGAUCUACAAAGAACAAACAAAAUAUACCUUAGACAAGACUAUGUUAAAAGAUAUGAUUUUUGGAACAAAUUAUCAAACAACACAUCAAGAGGAUCCAAACUGUUAAUUUUAGCAUAAUUGACUUUACCUCUAGCAAAAAGAGCAAUGUCUUGAUGACCUAAGUUAGUCUCAUGCUGGAAGAAGCUUGAUAAGUAAAUCUUACUAAGCACAUCCACUCUAAAAUUAUGGUGCACUAGUGGAACAAAGUGAUUAGGACUCCUUACGAUGUAAUCUACCUUAUCUAUGUAUCCACUGCAAGGAUAUCUACUCUAGUCUAAGUUCAAGAAGUAUAGAUCAAAUCCACCUAGGCUAGUAUUAUCUAAGUCAGUGAAAGUGGGAGCCCUAAUUAUAUUAAAGGGUGUCUCACCACUACCAGAAGUGCUCGCUCCCAGAGCACCCUCAUUUUGCACUACCUACUUGAAUUUGAUAGUGAGUUCUUUAGCCUCGCUCAGGUUUUCUGGGAAUUGUCUCCUCCAAUUCGCCAGUCAUUGCUCAUUGACCUUUACUUCCUUUAAAGCCUCCUCAGUAGUUAUGACUUUGAUAGCCUCCUUAACUUCUUCUAGAACCCCUUGGAGAGAUUCCUAAACAUUUUCCUUCACAGAAAGAUGUUCUAAGUCUUGGUGUGGAGUGAUGAGGCCUAAUCUUCGUAGGUUCUCCUUAUUCACGAGUCCUUCUACUUGCAACUCUUUGGAUGAAAAAGAUUUGUAGAGGGCUAACCUCUCUUCAACUCUGGAGUCAAGGGCGACUGGGAAAGACAAUUUGACAGAUGUAAAAAAUGUAUCUGAAUAUAGCACACAGGAGGAGAAACAAAAUCCUAAAGUUCAAGGAAGGGAAUGACACUUCCUUUUAGUAUUGAAAUCUAAACUAUGGGUGGGAACCCUCUUCAACAGGAAGCCGAAUGUGUAGAAGUACUAAUCUCUAAAGUCAUAUGUGUACUUCGUGGAGCUGGUAGGACAAGGAACACUCCUAGAGUAGCAUUCUAGCCUGUCGAAACCUACUUUCUCCUUGUGGCCUCUCAUGGGUUGAGACUUGAUCUUGUAGAAAUACAAUAUUCCAGUGUCAGCACAAGCCUAUUAUGAUGAGCACAGAAAACCUAGCACCCUAACAAUAAACGGUAAGCUUGGGGAAUGAACUGAAAAGGUGCUUCUCCGACAACAACACAGAAGUUAGGAGCAAAUGUGCACCCAUUUUGAUAUGAGUCCAUCUAUAAGCACUGAAGCCUCCUUUCGCGCACCUUCUAGGCCUUUCCCUAUGAACGGAGAGCUUGUUCCAGAACAACCUUAGAACACUUUUGAGCCCUCGUCAAGUCUCGUACUUCCUCAAAUUAUUAUAGAUCCUAAACUUAUUUAUGUGUUGGUCCAUCUCCCAUGGACGGAUCAAUUUUGGAGCAUUUUCCUACUCCAUAAUUUCCUCCUCCGAGUCAGCUUCAUCUUGAUGGAUCCAUCUAGGAAUGAUUUCUUUACGAAAGAAGAAAAUCCAAGUAGUCAGCCACCCUAACUACCUAACAUAGAAAGCGAGUUGGGGGUCCUCCCUCAUGAACUACUUGGAGAUGUCCCAACUAGAUUAACUAUCCAUAAAUGAGAACUCUCAGGAUUCAUUCGUUCUAGAUAAGAAGUUAGGAACGAAAAAGAGAAAAGGCAUAACAGAGAUUA